rnacentral:rRNA from 1 species
AUGCUCGGACACCACCGCAGGUCCACCAUCACCAGCGCAGACCUCGGCGACCUGCACUAUCUUCGGAUGGUCAUCAAGGAGACGCUAAGGUUGCACCCCUCUGUGUCACUGAUACACAGGGCGGCCAUGGAGGAUUGCCAAGUGAUGGGCUACCACAUACCCAAGGGCACCUCCGUCAUGAUAAACGCCUUCGCGGUUGGCACGGACCCGACACACUGGGGUGAGGAUGCCGCGGAGUUCAGGCUGGAGAGGUUUGAGGAGAUGAGUGUGGAGUACUUCAAGCAAGGGCCACAGAUGGAGUUCAUCCCGUUCGGAGCUGGUCGUAGGCAGUGCCCUGGAGCCUUGUUCGUGAGCACGACGAUGGAGCUUGUGCUGGCAAACCUCCUGUACCACUUUGACUGGGCGAUUCCGUGUGGGGCGGGCCCAGAGACACUGGACAUGGGCGAGGUGUUUGGGAUCGUCCAUCGUCGUGCAAACUAG